GGGCGUGUGGUCUAGUGGUAUGAUUCUCGCUUUGGGUAUUUCUACGAAAGAACUUGUGAGAGGCCCUGGGUUCAAUUCCCAGCUCGCCCC